rnacentral:tRNA from 1 species
UGAUAGUUAGUUUAAACCAAAACAAAUGAUUUCGACUCAUCAGACUAUGACAAAAUUCAUAACUAUCAC